UACGUAGGGGGCGAGCGUUGUCCGGAGUUACUGGGCGUAAAGCGCACGCAGGCGGUCCGGUCAGUUUGAGGUGACAGCUCCUGGCUCAACUAGGAGAGCGCCCCAAAGACGGCCGAACUUGAGGGCCAGAGAGGGACAUGGAACUCCGGGUGGAGUGGUGAAAUGCGUAGAGAUCCGGAAGAACGCUCGCAGCGAAGGCGAAGCUCUGGGCAAAUUCUGACGCUGAUGCACGAAGGCUAGGGGAGCAAACGGG
rnacentral:rRNA from 1 species